AAUCUUCCGCAAUGGACGAAAGUCUGACGGAGCGACGCCGCGUGAGCGAUGAAGGUCUUCGGAUCGUAAAGCUCUGUCCUUGGGGAAGAAGGGAGCCGUAAGGCUUCUUGACGGUACCCAUGGAGGAAGCCCCGGCUACCUACGUGCCAGCAGCCGCGGUAAUACGGAGGGGGUAAGCGUUGUCCGGAAUUAUUGGGCGUAAAGGGUUCGGAAGCCGGCCUUUAAGUCAGAUGUGAAAACCCACGGCUUAACCGGGGGACUGCAUUUGAAACUUGAGGGCUUGAGUGUCGGAGAGGGCAGUGGAAUUCCCAGUGUAGCGGUGGAAUGCGUAGAUAUUGGGAAGAACACCAGGGGAGAAGGCGACUGCCUGGACGAUAACUGACGGUGAGGCACGAAAGCUAGGGGAGCAAACA
rnacentral:rRNA from 1 species